UUUGGACUGAUUGGUCAUACAAGAAAUAUGAUGUGUAUAUUGGGUCAGCCUUGGGUUGGGGUAGCAUUGUAUUUGGCCUACUAGCUAUAAGCUAGAGCGUAAUUGUAAUUAGUCCCAUAUUCGAAAGAUAAAUAUGAUUUUACGUAAUUAUAAGAGUGGAAAAAUGGAAGCAUGCAGUGCUAGUCGAUCAUAUAUGAAAUGUGGCAUAUUGCC
rnacentral:lncRNA from 1 species